UGGCCACAUGACGUUGAAACACUGAUUCCUGUACAACCACUAAAGUUAAGCAACAUCGAGCCUGGUCAGUACCUAGAUGGGUGACCACUUGGGAAUACCAGGUGCUAUA